CUCUCAAGAGUAGUAUUCUCGUUUUUGCUCAAGUGUAUAUGAGCAAGAAAACCAGGAGUGGAAACGGGUAGCGGUGCAGCUGUGGCACUUGCAAAUUUUACUUUUCUUGGCUGUCAGUCCCCGAUAUUUCACGGGCAGUGCGCAGAUGAAUGCAAUAAGGAGGCAACAUCCUGCACUAAUGCAAGAGCAGAGUUGUAUCUAUGCAAAUAUGUAUAUUUAGGAAGGCAUAUUUUUCAGGCUUAUUACCUUUGUGAGGCAGAGAGCAAAGCUGAAAGUUUCAACGCAAAUGAGAACCUGCAUUUUAUCGGUACUGAGCGUCAUUUUUUCCGAGUUCUUUUUUGCUUUGCUCACAACGCUGCGACGAGAAACUCCCUUCAUUGCGAUAUCCACCUCUUCGUGAAAUGACGACCAGAGGAUAGUACCGAUCGAUGCCUUCGAACUCAAGGGCCGAUGCUGCAUACGGCUGCCCUUGCACAGAUUCCGCAGCGCCAGCUUGCCCAUCCGAGCAUGGGCUGUGCCUCGAACUCUGCCUACCUUCCCCACUGAGCAGGUUGCCACCCUUGAUGCAUCGGUCGAGGUUGCUUAAACUUUCCACAACCAGGAGGCAGUGAUAACCGGGUCGGAUGCGUCUGAGUCACGCUAGCACCCUACCUACUCAUAGGGAUGGCACAAGCGUGGUGACUGACGCAGGUCGCUCCGACCCCACUACAUCCAGGACCUCACCGCCGGCACCAGCAGCGAUGCAUCUCUCUGGCGUGCCCGCGUCGUAGGCGCCCGACCCUGACACCACUAUAAGAGGUUCUGAAUUGCCACGGGUAGGAGGUUCGCUAGCUAACCCACUGAAUGGGUUCUGGAGCGAGAUACCGCGCGUCGAGGUGUCCCUCUUCGUCAAGGUUGCAAGUGAGAAGACUUGUAUAAAUGCCUUUUCUGGCGAGGUUCUUAAUACUGUUCACCCACAUAGUCCGCGACAUUGGCGGGCGCCGCAGUACGCUGCAUUUGCUUGUAUUCAUCUAGACGCUAUGUAUUGCACUGUUAGGCGUUUGAAAGCAACUGACCGUGUCGCUUUAGCCAGUGCAGACAAUAUGCUCCCCCCCCCCGGUGCUCCAAGAGCAACCUUACGGACGGCACCCCUCUAAAUCACUUCUCUUCUUUUUGUGAAGGGACCUGGGCCGAAUCCGCUCUUCAAGGUUGACGGCUUCUUUAAGCAUUCAAGAAUCAAAUACUGAACGGCCCAAGCACGCUUGUCCCACCCGUGAUGAUAAACGAACGUGGAAAGCCUCACACUGUUUGCGCACCCAGCAGGUUGUCAAUUUGCACAUGCGAUAGUGAGGCUACUCGCCUCUUCUUGAUUGCAACUUCCGUGCAGCGCCCAUUUUUACUCGACAAAGUACUGAGAAGAAUGAAACUAGCCUGCGAGACUGCCCGCACAUUAUUAAACUCUGUCAGCUUCAGAGUAAAAGUUGAGCUUGCGUAUGAAAGGACGUUGGCAACCAUUGGCUUUCUAGAUGUCAAACAGAGGUAGGCGGUCGGGCAACAGUGCCUCACGCACCCAGUGGCAGUUAGGUUUUGUUACAUCAAGUAAACCCACCACUGCUGUUUACCCAAGACACGAAUUCUGGCACACAUUUCUUCACCACAUGGUAAGUGGGACACAUUUUUCAGGUUACUCUCCACUGCAAAUGGAAACCGAGUUUGCUCCUCUUAGCCCGCAUCUUUUGCGAGCGUUUUUUUUUUUUGCAGUCGCUGCUGCUGUUCACUUUUUCCUUGGUUCCCUUUCGCCAGCCCUCAAAGAGGGCAACCGUGCUGAAGGAAGCUCUAACGGUUGCCAUGAGCCAUACCUGCGCCUGCGGUUUUAACCGCUACAGUACUUCAUACUUGCCGUAUCUUGCUAACCUAUUAGUGAUGCUGGUCUUUCUUCCAGUAAAUGACUUCUGGCGCCGAAAGAAUGAAAAGCGGUGGUCAGCUGUUAGCUAUUCUUGCCGCUACGGUAUACGGUGCCCCAAUAUGGUGAUGCUGCACUUUCUUUUUCCUGUUAUCAACCUGUGCCCUUCGGGCAUCACCUUUGAUCCCUAAUCUUCGCUAGCCAUGCUCUGCAAAGGUGUAUAUAACCGUGCACAUGGAAAGAGUAACACUUGGUCGCCGCUCUUAUACCUCUCAGCGUUUGCAAAGCGUCUAAUGCGCUGCUUCUAGGAGGCUGUUUUCUGAGUCAAGAUGAUCAACGUGUGCACAUAGCAAGAAGCACCCUCGGACUAGUAUCCUUUCUCUCACCGCUUAGUUUAUCUCUGAUUAGGUUGCGUUUUGCUUUAGCGUAAAUUAGCAGACCAAGUACUGGGGCUAUAAAUCCCGCAAUGACAUUUUGGAGCAGAAUCACAAGGUCUGUUAAUGGCGUUAACUCAAGUAUACGAAUUGCAAGACACCAGGGCAGCUUCUCGAAGUGCAAGAUCGGCGACUCUUGGACUUCAGCGUCACUCCUUUUUGGUUACUGUAAACUGUGAAGACGUGAGAGAAAGCUUGAGGGGCGAAUCACUCGAUUUCCCACGUGAUUUGAAAUUUGCUGCGGUGAAACGCACGGAUGCUCUCCUGUGAUUAGUACUAAAAUCGGGAGUAUGCGUGCUAACUCUCUUUUCGAAGAUGUGGGUCGGUUUUUCCUUUUCGGGUGUUAAGGGCAACUGGCUCACAUUCUGGAGCGAUUCACCGAAUGCUCCAUUCGACUUUAUUCGAGACUCCUAAAUAAGUCUUUUUGCUGAUUUGGUUGUGAUGAUUUUUCAUCUCUACGUCUGCUUGCGUUGGCAGUGACAACGCACUACUUUGCCCGCCUAACACAGUUUAAGUGAAUCUACACGAGAGGCUAGCGUCUCAAGCUCCAUCUAAGUUUCCCUUUAUUCUCUCUGCGAAGACAGUGCUGACGCCUACGUGGAUGCGCACUUGUUUAGCCUAAGCCUCAGAAACUACCUCGACACCUUUCUUACCUUUGCAAAUGUUUCUCUUUAAAUGUCUUGCAUGUUUUCGAGUCUGAAUCUCUACUUUGUUUUUGAGCAUUCUCUCUGCGCAACGGAAAGAGUGUUUCUGCGUUGUAUGCCGGAAACGAUUCCGUACCUCAAAAGGCACGCACGGGAGUAUUUUUUUGUCCUUUCUUAUUGCACUCGCACUUUGAGUGAGAAUAAAAGCCUUGAAUUUUACUGAAGCGAAGACGCAACAAAAACAAGAGAUGAUAACAAUUUACACUAUUUGCGUGCACUUUG
rnacentral:misc_RNA from 1 species